rnacentral:rRNA from 1 species
CUCCCGGUGAUCCCGCCGGACCCGACUGCUAUCAGAGUGGGACUAAGCCAUGCGAGUCAACAUAGCAAUAUGUGGCAUACGGCUCAGUAACACGUAGUCAACAUGCCCAGGGGACGUGGAUAACCUCGGGAAACUGAGGAUAAACCGCGAUAGGUCAUCACUUCUGGAAUGGGUAAUGACUUAAAUCUAUAUGGCCCCUGGAUUGGACUGCGGCCGAUCAGGCUGUUGGUGAGGUAAUGGCCCACCAAACCUGUAACCGGUACGGGCUCUGAGAGGAGGAGCCCGGAGAUGGGCACUGAGACAAGGGCCCAGGCCCUAUGGGGCGCAGCAGGCGCGAAACCUCUGCAAUAGGCGAAAGCUUGACAGGGUUACUCUGAGUGAUUUCCGUUAAGGAGAUCUUUUGGCACCUCUAAAAAUGGUGCAGAAUAAGGGGUGGGCAAGUCUGGUGUCAGCCGCCGCGGUAAUACCAGCACCCCGAGUGGUCGGGACGUUUAUUGGGCCUAAAGCAUCCGUAGCCGGUUCUACAAGUCUUCCGUUAAAUCCACCUGCUUAACAGAUGGGCUGCGGAAGAUACUAUAGAGCUAGGAGGCGGGAGAGGCAAGCGGUACUCGAUGGGUAGGGGUAAAAUCCGUUGAUCCAUUGAAGACCACCAGUGGCGAAGGCGGCUUGCCAGAACGCGCUCGACGGUGAGGGAUGAAAGCUGGGGGAGCAAACCGGAUUAGAUACCCGGGUAGUCCCAGCUGUAAACGAUGCAGACUCGGUGAUGAGUUGGCUUAUUGCUAACUCAGUGCCGCAGGGAAGCCGUUAAGUUUGCCGCCUGGGGAGUACGGUCGCAAGACUGAAACUUAAAGGAAUUGGCGGGGGAGCA